UUCCCAACCCACUUUAUGAACGAAGGAUGAGGUUAUGAAUGGAGUGUUGCCUGAGCAAGGACUCGUGGGCACUCGCGGUGUGCAACCGAGCAGCGGGGGUGGCGGUUUUAUUUUAUUUUUUGGUCGAAGGGGCGGCGGUUGAAGGGCAAGGGAUUUGAACGAAACUAAAGAAAAAAAACUCCUCCUACGGUUCACGCAAAACCUUCAUCCCCCAGUUCAAAAAUUGAUACGAUUGUGUCUUUCAUUUUGCCUCCAUGAUUCCUGCUAAGGGUGCUUUGUGAGGGUUGAUUGCCCCAAAUUUUGGCUCUGUAAAUAAAGUGGUAUUUAUUGGAUCAUCCAGUGGCUCUUUCACUGUAAAGCAGGCUUGGAAGCUAGUGAGGAAAUGUGGGAAUAAAGUGACUUGGCAUAAGCUCACAUGGUUUCGGCCUAAUGUGCCAAAAUAUGGCUUUACAACUUGGCUGGGGAUUCAUCAUAGGUUGCACACAUUGGGCAGGAUGAAAACUUGGUGUAGCAUGGUAGCAUUUGCGUGCUGUGCAGACAACAAGAAGAAUCACGAAUGUGCUUGCUCUUCAAGGGCGUGUUCUCAAAGCAGAUUUGGGAAUAAGUUUUGCAGCUAUUUUCAUGUUCUAGAUCUGCAAGUGACUGGAAGGAUGAACUUAGGGGUUAAGUGUCUGUGUAAAAAAUUAAUUGGGUUAAGACACUGCUGACUAUAAGUGUU